rnacentral:rRNA from 1 species
GAUGAACGCUGGCGGCGUGCUUAACACAUGCAAGUCGAACGAGAAGUGGAGACGGAAACCUUCGGGCGGAAGACUUUAUUUCGAGUGGCGGACGGGUGAGUAACGCGUGGGUAACCUGCCUCAUACAGGGGGAUAACAGUUGGAAACGACUGUUAAUACCGCAUAAGACCACAGCACCGCAUGGUGCGGGGGUAAAAACUCCGGUGGUAUGAGAUGGACCCGCGUACGAUUAGCCAGUUGGCGGGGUAACGGCCCACCAAAGCGACGAUCGAUAGCCGAUCUGAGAGGAUGACCGGCCACAUUGGGACUGAGACACGGCCCAAACUCCUACGGGAGGCAGCAGUGGGGAAUAUUGCCCAAUGGGGGAAACCCUGAUGCAGCGACGCCGCGUGAGUGAAGAAGUAUUUCGGUAUGUAAAGCUCUAUAAGCAGGGAAGAAAAUGACGGUACCUGAGGAAGAAGCCCCGGCUAACUACGUG